rnacentral:rRNA from 1 species
CAGUAGCCGCGGGAAAACGAAGGGGGCUAGCGUUGUUCGGAUUUACUGGGCGUAAAGCGCACGUAGGCGGACUUUUAAGUCAGGGGUGAAAUCCCGGGGCUCAACCCCGGAACUGCCUUUGAUACUGGAAGUCUUGAGUAUGGUAGAGGUGAGUGGAAUUCCGAGUGUAGAGGUGAAAUUCGUAGAUAUUCGGAGGAACACCAGUGGCGAAGGCGGCUCACUGGACCAUUACUGACGCUGAGGUGCGAAAGCGUGGGGAGCAAACAGGAUUAGAUACCCCUGUAGUCCCUGUCUCUUAUAC